CUUGCUCGCAACAUUGCAUUUUAUUUUUCAUCCUAGUUCAAAAUGGUCCAAUACUUCGAAACUGAUUUCCACCAUCUCUCUGUAUUUUUUCUCUCUCAACACUCUGAUUUAAAUCCAAAAUCCAGAAUGAUUGGCUCAUCUGCUCACUGACUGAUGCUCUUCCAGAUUCCAAAGGGGAAAAGCCAUACGCUUAUGAGUUCUUAACUUUACAUAAACGACAUGACCUCUCCCCUCCGGAAACUAGAAAUUCCUAGAAACUCUGGAGGACCACGGGUAUUGACUGUGGUGCCGCUACCGUUGCUGUAGUAGUGUCUUCUUCUGACUCUCCUGAUGAGAGUAAAAACAAUCGGGCAGUCCGGGAUAGAAGAACUGAAGGGAUCGGUCUUCCAGCAAUAAUUAAAUGUCUCCGUUUGAAGUGAAAAUAUGGAGAGAGAGAGAGAAACAGAUUGUUCUAUGGGUUCCAUUUUGCACUGCACACGUCGUCGUCGUCGUCGUAAGGAGAAGUGAAGAAGAUGAGAUCUGACAAAACGACCACUUCUUUCUUGCACCAACCAACGCAUCCCAGAGAGACUUGGAUGUGAAUAAUGAUGGUGGAGAGACCAGGCAGGCAGAGAGACUCACCAGAACCAUUAAACCCCAGCAUUUUGCCAUGGGCGAUGUUCAUCGCAAUUUUUUGUGCAAAUCCCGUCCAACCAACGAACCAACCUGCCAAGGUUGCACUUCUUCCCACCAUAGACUACAUUACAUACUUCUUCUACCACCUCAUCAUGCUCAUGCAGCAGACCAGGCAUGCAGCUUGUCAACCCCUUCUUGGUUGGAAAUGGCAAUGCUUUUGGUUCUUAUAAACUUUUACACACGGGGAUGAUGGUGGAAUCUGCCUCCAUCCAUACAUCCACCACUAAUCUAAAACUCGACACAAUGAUCCUGCCUACCUGUCUCGACAACUACUAUACACCGUUGAUUAGCAUGAGCGUAGGAUGAUGUCCUCCAUGCACUACAAUGAAGGAACAAGCCCAAUCCUUAUUACAUAGACUUCAUUUCGACUUGUGGGCAAAUCUCAGCUCACUCAACCUCAGGGUGAGUGUUCGCCACUCACGUACUAAAGUCCUACUACUUACCUAGCUGCUUCUAUCAAACCAAAAAGUUUUUGCUCUUUCCAUGAAAGAGUGAGUGAAUGCAAUGCAGUUUUCAUACAAAAUAAUACAACAACCACAACCAAAUUCAUUCAAGUCAAGCUAUAUAAUAAGUACGUAUAGCGUUGUUAGUAGUGAAGAGCGGAUAUGAUGUGAGCCGGACACAACAGUGGUGCUCACUGCAGCAUUAUUACGCCAAAUAUUCUGCAAUAUCACUCAUAUCGUACAUAAUCGAUCGCAUAAAGUCAAAAUAGUGGUCCCGAGUUGAAUGAUGCCAUAAUGGAACCUGAGGAGAGUGAGUGUGGAAAAUAUCCAAACCAAAAAAAGUCCAGCAGUAGAAGAACAUCUCAAAAAAUAAACCACUCUAAUAAACCUCAACAAAAGUUGUUUUACAAGAGCCAGCACAACCGACCAGCCAACCACAUGCAGGGUCCAUGCUCUCUUGCUCUCACACCUUGUGUGAAGACAUCUCUCGUACAGUUGAGAAUGAAUCUCGUUCAUUACACUUAUAGGAUUUAAUCUUGCCCCUCUCCAUUUUAUUCCCAGAUUCUAGAUUUUAGGAAAUGGCAGAUACACUAUCAAGACUGCUGUCGCCAACAAUAACAUUCAACUACUCUUAUCCCAUGCAGUGCAUUCUAUGAAUUUCUAUGAGGUAGUGCAUGUCCAGGUGUGAGUAUUAGUAAAACUGACAUAUUUCAAUUUCUCCUAUCCACUAAUUCACUGAUUACGAAUAAAAAUAGAUGAUCUAAAGUCUAAAUCUAA